AGCGAACGCUGGCGGCAGGCCUAACACAUGCAAGUCGAGCGAGAUCUUCGGGUCUAGCGGCGGACGGGUGAGUAACGCGUGGGAAUAUGCCUCUUGGUACGGAAUAGCCUCGGGAAACUGGGAGUAAUACCGUAUGUGCCCUUUGGGGGAAAGAUUUAUCGCCAAGAGAUUAGCCCGCGUUGGAUUAGGUAGUUGGUGGGGUAAUGGCCUACCAAGCCGACGAUCCAUAGCUGGUUUGAGAGGAUGAUCAGCCACACUGGGACUGAGACACGGCCCAGACUCCUACGGGAAGCAGCAGUGGGGAAUCUUAGACAAUGGGGGCAACCCUGAUCUAGCCAUGCCGCGUGAGUGAUGAAGGCCUUAGGGUUGUAAAGCUCUUUCAGCUGGGAAGAUAAUGACGGUACCAGCAGAAGAAGCCCCGGCUAACUCCGUG
rnacentral:rRNA from 1 species